GACGUAGGGCGCGAGCGUUGUCCGGAUUUAUUGGGCGUAAAGAGCUCGUAGGCGGUUUGUCGCGUCUGCUGUGAAAACUCGGGGCUUAACCCCGGGCCUGCAGUGGGUACGGGCAGACUAGAGUGCGGUAGGGGAGACUGGAAUUCCUGGUGUAGCGGUGAAAUGCGCAGAUAUCAGGAGGAACACCUAUUGCGAAGGCAGCUCGCUGGGACGUCACUGACGCUGAGACGCGAAAGCGUGGGGAGCAAACAGG
rnacentral:rRNA from 1 species